UUGGAGUCUACUGUCGGCUGGGCACUCUCAGGCCCACCAAAAAAUUUGUACAGACCCGCUUAAGGAAAUAUACCCGAAAAACGGAUAUGAAGAUAACUGUGCGUAGGUUUCAUGGACCCCCGAAGACUAGUCGGGUCCAAAGGAAACUACUCUACCGAAUUAAAGUAGGACUCUGUAAUGUACUCGACUAGAACUCCUGCCCUGUAACCCUAUUCCCCGACUAUAUAAGAGCGAGCAAGGACCCCCUCCAAACAACAAGGGCAACUCGACACAAGUUCAAUACAACCAACACACAGGAUGUAUGAUAUUACGCGAUCUAGCGGCCCAAACCUUUGUCACCAUCAACUUUCUUGAUUCUCGACGACACCCACCAUACAAAAGGCCCAAACUUGUGUCACCAUCAACUUUCUUGAUUCUCGACGACACCCACCACACAAAAGACCACCUUAGGUACUCCCUAGGCAGGUUGCCAUUCUAAAACAUCGACAGUUGGUAGCGGCCCAAACCUAUGUCACCAUCAACUUUCUUGAUUCUCGACGACACCC
rnacentral:lncRNA from 1 species